rnacentral:rRNA from 1 species
UACGUAGGGGGCAAGCGUUGUCCGGAUUUAUUGGGCGUAAAGAGCGUGUAGGCGGUCAGGUAGGUCAGCUGUGAAAACUCGAGGCUCAACCUCGAGACGCCGGUUGAAACCAUCUGGCUAGAGUCCGGAAGAGGAGAGUGGAAUUCCUGGUGUAGCGGUGAAAUGCGCAGAUAUCAGGAAGAACACCCGUGGCUAAGGCGGCUCUCUAGUACGGUACUGACGCUGAGACGCGAAAGCGUGGGGAGCGAACAGG